CAGCCGCCGCGGGAAUACGUAGGGUGCGAGCGUUAAUCGGAAUUACUGGGCGUAAAGCGUGCGCAGGCGGUUGUGUAAGACAGGUGUGAAAUCCCCGGGCUUAACCUGGGAACUGCGCUUGUGACUGCACAGCUAGAGUAUGGCAGAGGGGGGUGGAAUUCCACGUAUAGCAGUGAAAUGCGUAGAGAUGUGGAGGAACACCGAUGGCGAAGGCAGCCCCCUGGGCCAAUACUGACGCUCAUGCACGAAAGCGUGGGGAGCAAACAGGAUUAGAUACCCGAGUAGUCCCUGUCUCUUAUAC
rnacentral:rRNA from 1 species